CUGGAGGUAUCAGAAGUGCGAAUGCUGACAUAAGUAACGAUAAAGCGGGUGAAAAGCCCGCUCGCCGGAAGACCAAGGGUUCCUGUCCAACGUUAAUCGGGGCAGGGUGAGUCGACCCCUAAGGCGAGGCCGAAAGGCGUAGUCGAUGGGAAACAGGUUAAUAUUCCUGUACUUGGUGUUACUGCGAAGGGGGGACGGAGAAGGCUAUGUUGGCCGGGCGACGGUUGUCCCGGUUUAAGCGUGUAGGCUGGUUUUCCAGGCAAAUCCGGAAAAUCAAGGCUGAGGCGUGAUGACGAGGCACUACGGUGCUGAAGCAACAAAUGCCCUGCUUCCAGGAAAAGCCUCUAAGCAUCAGGUAACAUCAAAUCGUACCCCAAACCGACACAGGUGGUCAGGUAGAGAAUACCAAGGCGCUUGAGAGAACUCGGGUGAAGGAACUAGGCAAAAUGGUGCCGUAACUUCGGGAGAAGGCACGCUGAUAUGUAGGUGAAGCGACUU
rnacentral:rRNA from 1 species